UCCAGGGAUGGGGCAGCCACAGGACCAGCACCAGCUUCUCCAGAGCCGCCACCACCAGCAGCCUUCACUACAGGCCUCUCCACCCAAGGGCCUGCAUCCCCAUAGGGCCCCGACAGCUCGAGUCUCUGACAACUCAUGUGCACGGCAAGAUAAAGCCACAAGCAGGACCAGAAAACACAGAAGCCAGUAUUUCAAAGGCAGACUAACAGGACACGUCACACAACCAAGACCAGAAAGACCAGCCCCACGAAGACCUGGCGGGGACUGCUGUGACCAACUGGCAGCAAGACGGAAACUACCAAGAGGAGAGUGAAGAGCCUCGGGACUCUGGAAGGGGCCAAGUGGAAAUGGCCCAGCUGAGCCUGGAGCCCUCUACCACUGAGCGACAGGAGGGAAAAGCUGGGAGUGACCUGUCCUGGAGCCCCAGAAUAACAUCCGACAGGAAGAGGAAAUUCUCUCAAGUUUAUACAGAGACGAUGGACUCU